rnacentral:rRNA from 1 species
CCCUUAGAUGUCCUGGGCCGCACGCGCGCUACACUGAACGAAUCAGCGCGUUUUCCCUUCCCGAGAGGGACGGGUAACCUGCUGAACCCCGUUCGUGGUAGGGAUCGGGGCUUGCAAUUAUUCCCCGUGAACCAGGAAUGCCCAGUAAGUGCAAGUCAUAAGCUUGCGUUGAUUACGUCCCUGCCCUUUGUACACACCGCCCGUCGCUACUACCGAUUGAACGUUUUAGUGAGGUACUCGGACUGAGCCUCAGAAGAUUCACGUCUUUUGUGCUGCUCGGGAAGAUUCCCAAACUUGAGCGUUUAGAGGAAGUAAAAGUCGUAACA